rnacentral:rRNA from 1 species
GCUUGUGUGUGUGCGCACGCCGCGCCCCGGGAGUGCGCGGGGCGCGGCGGGCGAAGGUGUAUGAAGAAGGCCUUUUUGUUGUAAAGUACUUUCAGUGGGGAGGAAGGGGUUGAGGUUAAUAACCUUAUUUUUGACGUUACCCGCAGAAGAAGCACCGGCUAACUUCGUGCCAUCAUCAGCGGUAAUAAAAAA